CUUUAGAAGAUCCGGAGGCAGCUCGGCCAUGCAUACAUCCCACAGUCUAGAGAGCAGGAAGACACCAUGAAAUGAAGAGCCUCCUCUUCCAUAAACAGCUGGACUCCUCAGAGGCCCACUGCAACGGAGUCACAAUGAUUGAGGCCUCAGAAACCAUGUGUGGGUCGGGGUGCUCAUUCUCAGAAGCAAGCAUCCCAUCCACAGCCCUGGAGCAGCUGUGGAGGCAAACUUAAAAUGCCCAAGAGGGCACUCUGAAUAUGCUCCACACCCUUGGAAGUCUACCACAUUCCUCUCUGAAGAGCUGUGUCUAUGAAUGAUGCAAACAGAAUCUUUGCAGGAAGUGUGCUACCGGGCUCUGAGCAGUCAGUGGGGAGGCAAACAGAUGCCAUAGCAUGCUACAUGGAGAUCAGAAGACAACCAGCAUUAUUUAGUUUUCUCACCACACCAUGUGGAUCGUGGGACUCAAUUAAGGUUAUCAGGUUUGGCUGAAAGAACGUUUACCCAAUGAGUGAUGUCUCCAGCACCACCUCCUUAUAUUUCAGGACCAUGUGAUUCCCAUCAUGCACCAUGAAAAAAUGCAAGUGUAUC
rnacentral:lncRNA from 1 species